rnacentral:rRNA from 1 species
CCUACGGGGUGGCAGCAGUGGGGAAUAUUGGACAAUGGGCGAAAGCCUGAUCCAGCCAUGCCGCGUGUGUGAAGAAGGCCUUCGGGUUGUAAAGCACUUUCAGUGGGGAAGAAAGCCUUGGGGCUAAUACCCUCGAGGAAGGACAUCACCCACAGAAGAAGCACCGGCUAACUCCGUGCCAGCAGCCGCGGUAAUACGGAGGGUGCGAGCGUUAAUCGGAAUUACUGGGCGUAAAGCGCGCGUAGGCGGUCUGAUAAGCCGGUUGUGAAAGCCCCGGGCUCAACCUGGGAACGGCAUCCGGAACUGUCAGGCUAGAGUGCAGGAGAGGAAGGUAGAAUUCCCGGUGUAGCGGUGAAAUGCGUAGAGAUCGGGAGGAAUACCAGUGGCGAAGGCGGUCUUCUGGACUGACACUGACGCUGAGGUGCGAAAGCGUGGGUAGCAAACAGGAUUAGAUACCCCUGUAGUC